AUGUUCUCUGUAGCUCUGCUGCUGCUGUUGGCAGCUGGAUGUGUAAAGUGUGAAACGCUGACUCAGCCAGCCUCUGUGACUGUGCAGCCAGGUCAACGUCUGACCAUCACCUGUCAGGUCUCUUAUUCUGUUGGUAGUGCUCCAACAGCUUGGAUCAGACAGCCUGCAGGGAAAGGACUGGAGUGGAUUAUCAGAGGAGGUGUUGGAUACAGCACACACAUCAAAGAUUCCCUAAAGAACAAGUUCAGUAUCAGUUUUGAUUCUUCCAGCAACACAGUGACUCUAAACGGACAGAAUGUGCAGCCUGAAGACACUGCUGUGUAUUACUGUGCCAGAGACAUGGCUCAUACCCCCAUCGGGAUCCUGACCGUCAUUCCUGAGGACAGACAGACCGCCCCUGACUCAUUGCACCUUGAGUCUUCAGUGUGCAAGGACGAAUAG